UUGUCAUCUAUUCCUGGAUUUCUUAGAGGUAAGUGCAGGUCUUAGCUCUCUGUCUGAACUUUCAUAAGCGUUGCUAUCAACUUCAUUAGAAACAGAAAUAAAGUGCAUCUCUUCACCAUCAUUUAUAUGGCAAAGUGAUUUUUAUCGAUAACCGUGUUAUAUCGUGUACCUAUUUCACGUUGAUUAGAUGUUUGAUGUAAAACGGAUAUUCAGCUGUGAAAAACGUCAAAAGAACUUUAUUGGACUUUAGCUGUAUAAACAUUGACUUAUUUGUAACGUAUUACAGCGUACAAUUCGACCCACAUGACAGUUUACUUGUUUAAGUCUUCGUUAAUUCGCUGUAAACACAUUUAAGCUAGUUUGCUAGUUAGGGGUCGUCUGCAAACUACUUGACACUGGCAAAAGACUAUCAAUGCUUUCCCAAUCUUUUUUUCUUUAUUAAAAAAUUAACACCGUUAUACAUUUACGUUUUUAAAAGAUACAAACACGCUGACACAGUAAAAUAAGUAAUGGUAUUGGUAUAAUCGUGACUUGUCUCUGUACUAUAUUGGAGUGUAAUUUUCCACAAUCCCUUGAUUGUUUGCCAUGUGUGCGGCACGCAGACUGAUUUGCUCAUGAUUGUUAUACUGGAACGGAACGAAGAAGACAGUGAAAGUGGAUUUGAGAAUGCCCCGUACGAAGAAAAGCGUGAGGUCACAGACAGCCAAGAAGAGGAUCGCGGACCGGAUGGCUGCUGUUCCUGAAGAGGCUCUGCCACCUCUUAAAAAAUUGGCAGAAAUAACUGAACAUUGUGUAUCACACAAUGGGCCUAAAACUGAAAAGAACCCUUUAAAGAACCCUUUAAAGAACCCUGAAAAGAACCCUGAAAAGUACCCUGAACCAAAGUCUCAGAAGGAUUCUAAAAUGACAAUGAAUGAUGUUUUUGAUUUGUUUCCACAGAAACCCUACAUCACAGGCUCUUUCCAUCAAGGAGAUGCUCGUUUUGUGAAUUAUGGCAAGCAAUGUGGUGUUAACAGUUUAACUGCAAUCCUGAUGUGUAAAAUGAAAAAUGUGUUGCAGUGGAGCACCAGUGACAUUAAUUCUGUCUUAACGCAUGGGGACCAGUUUUAUUCUGAUAUGAACCUUGCAGGAAACAUCAGUGAUGACAUCAAUGGCUACAUAUAUAUUGAGGAGCUGCCGAAAGUACACACAUUGAAUGAUUGUCCUUUCUCAAUAAACUAUGGUACAACCAUA